CCACAUCCCACUCAGGUGGGAGAGGGAGGGAGUGAGUGAGUGAGUGCUGUGUGCUGUUUAGCUGCCUGCCAGGUUAAACCAACAACACCUACACACAGCCUCCUUCACAGGAGUGUGACACCAUUUGCUUUACUUCUUUUUUUAAACACAUGCACAAAACAAGAUGACAUCACCAAGUGUCAAUGUGGGAUUCAAAAUCAGAAGUUACUCAAUUUUUAAGCUACAAUACAUAAACAUUUAUAAAAUAACAAUAUCUCUAAAUUCUUCAGUUUGAAUAAAAAUAGAAUGCCACUGCAUUUCACAUAUACCUAGCCUUCACAUGCUUUGGACUUUUGAAUUGGCUGGGUUUUAAUGCUUUUGAUUAAAAUUAAACAGUACUCUUUGUCAGCUGUCAUGUGAACAGUCAUGUUUGUCAUUCAGGUGAUGCUGUGAUUUGAGCGGGUACACAGUGAUACAGUUAAGUUCCCAAACGGAAACUGUUGCCUUAGCUCCACUGUGGGACAGCGCGGAUCAAACAAAAGACUUUUUUAUGGAUGCUAGUUCAAUCCUGACAUUCAUCUCUGGCCAUAACAAGAAUGCAUCUGUUUCCCACAGCACACCAUAACAAGCAUAUUUAAAUACUGCAGGGGGGGGGAAAAAAAAGGAGGUGGGGGGAGCAAAGGAUGGGCUUUGCUUUGGAAGGAAAAAUAACCCAGCAAGAUUUGGGACUUCCUCUGCUGAAGGCAUUAUCACAGCAGAUUGCUUUGAGCUGAUCUUUAACCUCCCUUUGGACAACCAUACAAGAACAACUUGGCAUGACCUUUGCUCAAUUGUCUUUUAAGAACAAGGAGUGGGAAUUCUGGUGGUUCAGAGCCAACAAGAUUCCCUCAAGGCAAGUGUGAUAGCUGCAGAGAGAAGUGCCAGACAAGCAUAGUAACGAAGAUGGUAGGCAGCAAAAAGCACAGUACAGAAGAAGAAGCUCAGGAAACUCCCAGAUUUCAACAAAAGGUUUGCAUUUGGAAUAGUAUGGGAAAAAAGCUGUGAAGGCACUUGCGUGAAACAUUGACAAAUGGAAAGAUAAAGGUUGACAGGAACAGUGGAGAGAAAAAAAAAGUAUUGGAGAGUUGUAUUCCUGGAAAAGAUAGCGUGACAGAAUACUGAUUAUCUGUCCAAGAAGUUUGAAAUUGAACUGGUGGAAA
rnacentral:lncRNA from 1 species